AGCAGACCGGGAUAAAGUCUGCCUGGACUGAACAUCGCAAGGGGCCAUGGGUUCGGUACACUUCCCAACUUGACCAACAAAUGUUGCUGAAUUAUGAAUGAGGCGUCAAAAAACCUCUACUAAUGGAAUUGUGAGUGUGGCUGGAAGGGAGCGGAGAAAUAUUUAUUGGACCCUUUCCUUUAAUCAAUAAUGUUUUAUUAUUUAAUGGGCAAGACAGGCGAUGUGUCUACGUACUUUGUGAUUCAUGGCUUCCAACUAAAGCGAAGCAACGGAACGCAAAGUUUCCAAGAUCCAGGAAAAAAGUUCGUUGUCGUUGUUACUUCUUAUUUAUUAUCUGUCAAAAAUAACAAAAAUAAUAAAUUAGGCUUACAAACUCAA